CCUACGGGUGGCAGCAGUGAGGAAUAUUGGUCAAUGGGCGCAAGCCUGAACCAGCCAAGUCGCGUGAGGGAGGACGGCCCUACGGGUUGUAAACCUCUUUUGCCGGGGAGCAACGGCCGCCACGUGUGGCGUCACUGAGAGUACCCGGAGAAAAAGCAUCGGCUAACUCCGUGCCAGCAGCCGCGGUAAUACGGAGGAUGCGAGCGUUAUCCGGAUUUAUUGGGUUUAAAGGGUGCGUAGGCGGAUCGUUAAGUCAGUGGUCAAAUUGAGGGGCUCAACCCCUUCCAGCCAUUGAAACUGGCGGUCUUGAGUGGUAGAGAGGUAUGCGGAAUGCGUGGUGUAGCGGUGAAAUGCAUAGAUAUUGCGCAGAACCCCGAUUGCGAAGGCAGCAUGCCGGCUGCCGACUGACGCUGAGGCACGAAAGCGUGGGGAUCGAACAGGAUUAGAUACCCGAGUAGUC
rnacentral:rRNA from 1 species